UUGGGCUGUUGGGGGACUGGAGUUGGGCUGUUGGGAGUACUGUAGUAGUAGCUAGUACUGUUAGCUGUUAGCUACUGAAGCUACUAGCUAGUACUGUUAGCUGUUAGCUAGCUAGUACUGUUAGCUGUUAGCUAGCUAGUAUUGUUAGCUGUUAGCUACUGUAGCUAGUACUGUAAGCUAGCCAGAUAGCCACGAAGAAAUGUUAGCUAGCUACCCUAGAAUUUACCUAACAUUAGUAACAUUAGUUUUAGGUCAUUUUUGCCUGUUAAAAUGUCUGGUUAGCUACUCACGAAAAAUGUACAUCUACCUUGCAUAACAUUAGUUUUUAGCUCAUUUUUGCCUGUUUAACUAGCUGGCUAGCAAGAUUAUUACAAUUGACAUAAAUCGAGCUGAUAAUUAUGAAGUAAAAUGUUUUCUGUGUGUAUAUCUUGUUUGGUCUCUAUUGUUACCAUUGUCCUGGCUGGAAGACAGUUAAGUGAAGUGAGGAGGUGCAGCGUGAGGUAAUAGAGUUGGGGGAGGAACAGCGUGAGGUAAUACAGUAGGGGGAGGAGCAGCGUGAGGUAAUACAGUAGGGGGAGGAGCAGCGUGAGGUAAUACAGUAGGGGGAGGAGCAGCGUGAGGUAAUACAGUAGGGGGAGGAACAGCGUGAGGUAAUACAGUAGGGGGAGGAGCAGCGUGAGGUAAUACAGUAGGGGGAGGAGCAGCGUGAGGUAAUACAGUAGGGGGAGGAGCAGCGUGAGGUAGUAGAGUAGGGGGGGGAGAGUGCUUCUAAAAUGUAAUGAUUUAUGCGUUCUCCACACUCUCAUCCUCACAAGAUCGUAUUGAAGAGCACAUCCUCGGAGAAUGAGAGUGUGGAGAGAGAGAGAGACAGGGGUCAGGUCUGUGUGGGUGGUGAUGGUGUAGUAGAGGUAGUGAUGGGGUCAGGUCUGUGUGGGUGGUGAUGGUGUAGUAGAGGUAGUGAUGGGGUCAGGUCUGUGUGGGUGGUGAUGGUGUAGUAGAGGUAGUGAUGGGGUCAGGUCUGUGUGGGUGGUGAUGGUGUAGUAGAGGUAGUGAUCGGGUCAGGUCUGUGUGGGUGGUGAUGGUGUAGUAGAGGUAGUGAUGGGGUCAGGUCUGUGUGGGUGGUGAUGGUGUAGUAGAGGUAGUGAUGGGGUCAGGUCUGUGUGGGUGGUGAUGGUGUAGUAGAGGUAGUGAUGGGGUCAGGUCUGUGUGGGUGGUGACGGUGUAGUAGAGGUAGUGAUGGGGUCAGGUCUGUUAUUAUGAAGGUAGUGACAUAUUCCAAUAUAGAAAAAGUCAUUCUGUUGAUCUUAGAUGGACCAAUUGUUUAAUCAACACUAACUGUUUUAUCAAUAACGGAUAAGAUCCUAAAGUUAACAUCAGUAUUUCACAGUGUUAUUGUUGGACUGGUGUGUGUGUGACAGGUAUGACGUAAGAGGAAGAACAAUACGAGUGAACAACUCUUUAAUGUUUAAAACUCCCAGCGAUGAAGACCGACACACACACACACACACACACACACACACACACACACACACACACACACAGACACAGAGUAUAAUUGCUGGAUAAGGGGUUGAAAUGUCUAUCAUAGCUAGAGGUGGGGAGGAGGGGGUGUUGAGGCCUCUGGAAAGGCCAGGGCAGACAGGAGAUCACAUGGAAGUGGUUUGAUCAUACAUAAGAUACGGUUAUACAGUUUAGAAGAGGAAGUUAGAGGGGGAGGAAUGUAGGUGAGGGAGGAAGAGAGAGCGCUGGGGAGAGAGAGAGGGGGGACGAGAGAGAGGGCUGAGGAGAGAGAGGGAGAAAGAGAGAGGGCUGAGGAGAGAGAGGAUGGAAGAGAGGGAGGGCUGAGGGGAGAGAGGGAGAAAGAGAGAGAGGGGUGAGGAGAGAGAGGGAGGAAGAGAGG
rnacentral:lncRNA from 1 species